CUAUUCGAGUCCAAAUGAAGGUCCUUAUCAAAGUCAGCUAACUAUGGAAUUCCCCGAGCCUGAAAUGUGAGGAAAUGAGGGUGGUGAGAUUAUAAAAUCCUAGUGAGUAAACAGAUACCAUCUAAACUAUCUAAAGUCGAGUAAAUGGAGACAAUUAAAAUAAGUCAUCAUACUGUAAUUUCAUUACCUUUCAACUCAUUUCAACUAAAUAAAAUCAAUCUAUAUAAAUCGAGUAAUCAACUUGGCUUAUGAAUUUCUUAAAACUUUAGUUUGUGCCAAAACUCAUACUCGGUGAUACCUUGCGCAAGGUAUCCAACCGAGUCCGCCAAGGCUGUUAAAAUUUUUGUAUACUCUUAAAAUAUAUUUUUAGUUUGAGAAAAAUACAGUCGUUCCUUGGCGUUAGCUGAGUUCCCCUUCACGUGGUGGUUUGGCGUAAAGUGAACCCUAAGCUUUACCCCAGGAGAUACCCUACGCGCCUUUCCAUUCGAGGUAAGAAUAUAAUGGAGUUUACCGUGCCCCUCUAAUAGGCUGGUCCACGGAACCUCCUCUGCAGUGAAUAAUUAAUAUAUACUCCACCAAUCAAUAAAAUUCAUUAUAGCAUGACAUGACAAUUUAUCAGAACCUAGCCUCUCAAGGCUGAAUACUCAGUACAAAUAAUUCUAACACCAAAAUCAGUUUAGCCAUUCAUGCUCAUAUAUUGUCAUAAGCCAUUCAAUUUAAAGCAAUAAAUUUACAACACAAGCAGACAGUCUCCAAUUACUCUAUUUUCAAAAUCAGUAUUCGAUUUUUUCAGAAAAUUUAUAAAAUCAUUUUAUAAAAUCGUAAUUUCUCCUAAAACAUAACAAUUUACCAUUUAAACCCAUUUUUCAUAAAAUCACACAACUGUAUAAAACUACUCUAGAUAAUUAAGACGAUAAUAAGUUCACUCACAGUUCUAGGAGUCGAUGUACUCCUAAUCCCAGUCUCCAAGCACAAUCUCUGUACUUUUACCAGUGUACUUUGCUCACCACCUAUCCACAAUGUACAAUACAUAAUUCACCACAUCAAUGCUUGACCAUUAUAAAAUCAAUUCAGGCUCGGUAUAUAUGCAUGAUAUGAUAUACAACUUAUCCAACUACCACUGAAAUGCGAUGCUGACCUAAUUCGACCUAUUAUCUCCAAUUUAACUCCAAAUCAAUUCUUCUCACUUUCUACACUCCAAUUGUACUUAAAUUACCUUAGUGACUGUGAAUGAGAUUCAAUUUGUCAGUCCCGAUAGCAAAUUACGAAAAUACCCUAGUGGGUAAAAAUUCAUAUUUUUGUUCCGAAAAUUCCCAUUAUUUUUCUAGGCUCAUAAUUCAUCAUUAUUCAUCAUAAUUCCUCAAAUAAACAUCAAGAUCAUCAGCCAAUAUUCCCCUAGAAAAUUCAGCCAAUAAUGGUAAUGGAGGAAAAUAAAUUCUUUUCUUGUUGUUUUGUUCCUAAAUAUGCUAAACUAACUAAAAAGAUUAACAUAACUUAAAAUCAAAUUAAUCUAAUAACUUUCUCUCUCCUAACCCAUUUUGAUCAGCCAUCAAUUCAUCAUGAAAACAUGUAAUUUAAUCAUGGAAAAUAAGGAGAAAUGCUAUCAUAAGAAAACUCAAGCUUAAUAGAAAAAAUCUCACCUUUUUAACUUAAUUUCCUUGAAAAUUCACACUUUUUCUUUGAUUUUCUCUCUCUAGGGUUUUGUUUUUAUUUUCUCUCUCUUCUUGCUGGUUU
rnacentral:lncRNA from 1 species